GACAGAGGGGGCAAGCGUUGCUCGGAAUUACUGGGCGGAAAGGGCGCGUAGGCGGGAUGGCAAAUCGGUCGUGAAAUCCUUCGGCUCAACCGAAGAACGUCGAUCGAUACUGCUGUUCUUGAGGGUUGCAGAGGAGACUGGAAUUUACGGUGUAGCAGUGAAAUGCGUAGAGAUCGUAAGGAAGACCAGUGGCGAAGGCGGGUCUCUGGACAGUUCCUGACACUGAGGCACGAAGGCCAGGGGAGCAAACGGG
rnacentral:rRNA from 1 species